UGUUUAUGUAGCGAUAACUGUCCAAGUCUGCAGUCGAGCGACAGAUAAGGAGCUUGCUCCUUUGACGUUAGCGGCGGACGGGUGAGUAACACGUGGGUAACCUACCUAUAAGACUGGGAUAACUUCGGGAAACCGGAGCUAAUACCGGAUAACAUUUGGAACCGCAUGGUUCUAAAGUGAAAGAUGGUUUUGCUAUCACUUAUAGAUGGACCCGCGCCGUAUUAGCUAGUUGGUAAGGUAACGGCUUACCAAGGCGACGAUACGUAGCCGACCUGAGAGGGUGAUCGGCCACACUGGAACUGAGACACGGUCCAGACUCCUACGGGAGGCAGCAGUAGGGAAUCUUCCGCAAUGGGCGAAAGCCUGACGGAGCAACGCCGCGUGAGUGAUGAAGGGUUUCGGCUCGUAAAACUCUGUUAUUAGGGAAGAACAAAUGUGUAAGUAACUGUGCACGUCUUGACGGUACCUAAUCAGAAAGCCACGGCUAACUACGUGCCAGCAGCCGCGGUAAUACGUAGGUGGCAAGCGUUAUCCGGAAUUAUUGGGCGUAAAGCGCGCGUAGGCGGUUUCUUAAGUCUGAUGUGAAAGCCCACGGCUCAACCGUGGAGGGUCAUUGGAAACUGGGAAACUUGAGUGCAGAAGAGGAAAGUGGAAUUCCAUGUGUAGCGGUGAAAUGCGCAGAGAUAUGGAGGAACACCAGUGGCGAAGGCGACUUUCUGGUCUGUAACUGACGCUGAUGUGCGAAAGCGUGGGGAUCAAACAGGAUUAGAUACCCUGGUAGUCCACGCCGUAAACGAUGAGUGCUAGGUGUUAGGGGGUUUCCGCCCCUUAGUGCUGCAGCUAACGCAUUAAGCACUCCGCCUGGGGAGUUACGACCGCAAGGUUGAAACUCAAAGGAAUUUGACGGGGACCCGCACAAGCGGUGGAGCAUGGUGGUUUAAUUCGAAGCAACGCGAAGAACCUUACCAAAUCUUGACAUCCUUUGAAAACUCUAGAGAUAGAGCCUUCCCCUUCGGGGGACAAAGUGACAGGUGGUGCAUGGUUGUCGUCAGCUCGUGUCGUGAGAUGUUGGGUUAAGUCCCGCAACGAGCGCAACCCUUAAGCUUAGUUGCCAUCAUUAAGUUGGGCACUCUAGGUUGACUGCCGGUGACAAACCGGAGGAAGGUGGGGAUGACGUCAAAUCAUCAUGCCCCUUAUGAUUUGGGCUACACACGUGCUACAAUGGACAAUACAAAGGGCAGCUAAACCGCGAGGUCAUGCAAAUCCCAUAAAGUUGUUCUCAGUUCGGAUUGUAGUGUGCAACUCGACUACAUGAAGCUGGAAUCGCUAGUAAUCGUAGAUCAGCAUGCUACGGUGAAUACGUUCCCGGGUCUUGUACACACCGCCCGUCACACCACGAGAGUUUGUAACACCCGAAGCCGGGGAGUAACCAUUAUGAGCUGCCGAGGCGACAGAUAGAGUGAAACUGA
rnacentral:rRNA from 1 species